rnacentral:rRNA from 1 species
AUUGAACGCUGGCGGCAAGCCUAACACAUGCAAGUCGAACGAGUGGCGGAAGUGAGAGUAAUGUCUGGGACACUGACUGAUGGAGGGGGUUAACUACUGGAAACGGUAGCUACUACCGUACACAAUCGGCUGGGCCCAGAUGGGAUUAGCUAGUGGGUGGGGUAAAGGCUCACCUAGGCGACGAUCCCUAGCGGGGCUGAGAGGAUGACCAGCCACACUGGAACUGAGACACGGUCCAGACUCCUACGGGAGGCAGCAGUGGGGAAUAUUGCACAAUGGGCGCAAGCCUGAUGCAGCCAUGCCGCGUGUAUGAAGAAGGCCUUCGGAUUGUAAAGUACUUUCAGUGGGGAGGCGUUACCCACAGAAGAAGCACCGGCUAACUCCGUGCCAGCAGCCGCGGUAAUAC